rnacentral:rRNA from 1 species
UAGGGAAUAUUGGACAAUGGGUGAGAGCCUGAUCCAGCCAUGCCGCGUGCAGGAAGAAGGCGUUAUGCGUUGUAAACUGCUUUUUGCCCGGGGAUAAAAAGACCGUGCGCGGUUAAUUGAAGGUACCUGGUGAAUAAGCCGCGGCUAACUACGUGCCAGCAGCCGCGGUAAUACGUAGGUGGCAAGCGUUGUCCGGAUUUAUUGGGUUUAAAGGGUGCGUAGGUGGCCCUGUAAGUCAGUGGUGAAAUAUCUCAGCUUAACUGAGAGGGUGCCAUUGAUACUGCAGGGCUUGAGUACAGAUGAGGUAGGCGGAAUUGACGGUGUAGCGGUGAAAUGCAUAGAUAUCGUCAAGAACACCGAUAGCGAAGGCAGCUUACCAAGCUGUAACUGACACUGAGGCACGAAAGUGUGGGGAUCAAACAGGAUUAGAUACCCCGGUAGUCCCUGAGCGGGCUGGCAAGGCGCAU